rnacentral:rRNA from 1 species
GACGAACGCUGGCGGCGUGCCUAAUACAUGCAAGUUGAGCGCUGAAGGUUGGUACUUGUACCAACUGGAUGAGCAGCGAACGGGUGAGUAACGCGUGGGGAAUCUGCCUUUGAGCGGGGGACAACAUUUGGAAACGAAUGCUAAUACCGCAUAAAAACUUUAAACACAAGUUUUAAGUUUGAAAGAUGCAAUUGCAUCACUCAAAGAUGAUCCCGCGUUGUAUUAGCUAGUUGGUGAGGUAAAGGCUCACCAAGGCGAUGAUACAUAGCCGACCUGAGAGGGUGGUCGGCCACAUUGGGACUGAGACACGGCCCAAACGCCUACGGGAGGCAGCAGUAGGGAAUCGUCGGCAAUGGACGAAAGUCUGACCGAGCAACGCCGCGGGAGGGAAGAAGGUUUUCGGAUCGGAAAACUCUGUUGGUAGAGAAGAACGUUGGUGAGAGUGGAAAGCUCAUCAAGUGACGGUAACUACCCAGAAAGGGACGGCUAACUACGUG